GCCGCACAUUCGACCAGACUACAGUCAAAACAAAUAUUUCAGUACACAAUCGUUUGUUGAUUAUUAUUGAAGAUUCUAAAGUGAAAGCAGACAGCAUAAUGAGUGAUUGUUCAGAGCAGACAAACACAAACACUGAAGAAAACAGCGAAGAUAUGACUGACGAUUCCAACAGUUCAAACAUUAACCCAGAGAACGAAGCAGGUUCAAAACAGCCAACACGAAACCGGGUCAAACGGCAAAUAUUUGAUACUGAAAACAGACCGAAUGCGGGGCUGGAUGGAGCCGAAAAAGAAGAAUUUAAGUAGAGACUAAUUAUGUUGUUAAUCUAUGUUCUAUAUUAACUAUAAUCAUUAUACAGCGUGUUAUUGAAAGGUGCGUACAAAAUAAAAUCGGCAUUUAGUCUCGAAGUAUGGGUGCUAAAAGUAAAAAAAGUUCAGGUAAAAGUGUUCUUCUUUUGGAGAUAAAAAUUUUUAAAACUUAUGUCCAAAUUCGUUGUACGCCUUUGAUAAAAAGAUCAUCUUUCGUUUCUAUAGCAACAACUUUUGACAAAAAUUUUAUUGUUACAGUUCUAAAAAGGUUGGAUAAGGGUUAAUUUUCCCCUUAUAAUUUUGAUAACACAAAAUAAGUUUUUCAGACUUCUUAGACUUCGCCAAUAACUGUCAAUUUUGUUGUACGUACCUUUCAAUUACACCCUGUAUUUAAUACUUGCUAGAUGUAACUAGAAAUAUAUUUUUUAAAAUCGGUAGCUAGUUACGUUUUCCUAGAAGUGUUAAGUUCGUCUCCGCUCUCUAACCCGAAGGUCUUCUUUCUUAUCUUAAACUGUGACUAAAAUAUCGAAGAAUGUGUAGGACUUUAGUGUUUUUACUGUUUCGAAGGAAUGUUUAUAGCCUAAAUUGUGGUUGGAAAAAUCUGAAUUAGUGUUUGUUAUGUCUGAAUUUGAGUAUUGUGUUCAUUAAUUCACAAGUUGAUUUUUUACUUGUGCACUUUGCACUUUUUCAUUAGUAUUAAAAGGCAGAAUAUUCAAAAUUAGGCCGUUAUUGUUUGUAAUAGAUCUAUGUGUAAAAAAUGAUAUUAAACAUUUAUAUAUUGUGUCAAGUCAGUGCUUUGGUGAUUGUUAUAAUUUGAUUUCGGUAGUCAGGAUUACGACUAUUUUUUCGCAAAUUGGAAUUUUUGGGUGCUUAAACUUGUGAGUAUAAUGAGAAAUUGUAUUUUUUCUAGAAAUUUUGACAUUCAUUUUUCAACAGACUGAUACGAACUUUAAGAUUUUGCAAAGUAAGUUCGUUCACAGAUAUUGUCAGGGCUAGAAAUUUGUUGCACACAACUUUAGGUAAAAAAACCAUUUUUUAAUAAAAUUUAUGGAAAACUUGA